rnacentral:siRNA from 1 species
UAACGUCCUGCUAAACUCGU